rnacentral:rRNA from 1 species
AGCGGCGUACGGGUGCGGAACACGUGUGCAACGCUUUAUCUGGGGGAUAGCCUUUCGAAAGGAAGAUUAAUGCCCCAUAAUAUGUUGAAUGGCAUCAUUCGACAUUGAAAACUCCGGUGGAUAGAGAUGGGCACGCGCAAGAUUAGAUAGUUGGUGAGGUAACGGUCACCAAGUCUACGAUCUUUAGGGGGCCUAAGAGGGUGAUCCCCCAACUGGUACUGAGACACGGCCAGACUCCUACGGGAGGCAGCAGUGGGGAAUUUUGGACAAUGGGCGAAAGCCUGAUCCAGCCAUUCCGCGUGCAGGAUGAAGGCCCUCGGGUUGUAAACUGCUUUUGUACGGAACGAAACGGUCCUGGUUAAUACCUGGGGCUAAUUGACGGUACCGUCAAGAAUAAGCACCGGUAACUACGUUGCCAAGCAGCGGCGGUAAUAACGUAGGGUGCGAAGCGGUUCAAUCGGGAAUUACUGGGCCCGUAAAAAAGCCGUUGGCGCCAGGCCGGGACAUCGGUAACGGAACCAGGCUGGCUCNAAAAAUCCCCCCCAGGGGCCUUUAAACACCUCUGGGGAACAAUCUGGGCCAUCUCAGCGGCNGAAACCG